UAUGGGGGUGCUUCCUGGAGCUUUCCCUCCACUUGUUUUUCCUUGAGGAGAUAGGUUUCCUGUUUCUGUUGAGGGCCAUUAAUGUCGCUUCACACACUGAAAAGGUGAUGCCUUUCUUCUCAGAUUCUCUUUGCAACGACCAGCUCCUGAGGGGAACUGUGAAACCGGAGCAACUGGAAUACCCCUUCUCAUGCCUGGUGGGGUGGCCUCAGGCCUACAGGGCAGUUCAACACAGUCCCAGCCCUUGGUGGGGUUCCUGUCCUGCUUGUGUGUGGUGACACCUCUCUGUACUGAAGCAGGCUAGAAACUUGAGAGCUAGUAUGUCCCAAGAGGAAGCCAGCCGCCGGCCUCCAGCUUUUUUUGUUGUUUUUUUGCCCUUAGCACAGCUGGGGCUUCUUGAAACACCUGGACUGAAUGUCACAAUCUGUUCCCUGUGAAACUCAGCAGGGAGAAAAGAUGCGGGGAGGACCCGAGAGAAGCAGGCCAGUAUUGUCUGGAGAGUUGACAUUUCUGUGUGGAGACUUAAAAGCAAGCUGAAUGGCAGAAUACAAAGGCUGGGAAUCCUUAACUCCGCCCCUUAUAAAAGGCUGCUCAGGUCACCCCCGCCCCUUGGAGUCUCACUUCCCAGAGGAGAAGGGUUGGUGAUGAGGAAACUGCUGUCUUUUCACCUGAUCAGACGUAACUGUUCGUUGGACCCUUCUUUCGAGUCUUCUCUCGGCGAUGAAUUGUUUCCAGGUCUCAUCUGUUGCCCAGGCUGAUCUUGAGCUCCUGGCCCCAAGCCAGGUCUUGAACUCCAACCUCAACCUGCUGAAAUACCAGAAUUAUAGAUGGAGCCGCUUUGCCUGGUCUCCCCAUACUUCUUGUGCCAGUUUUAGCUAUAGGGGACUUGGAAAGUAUCCUCAUUCUGCUGCAGUUUUAUUGUCCAUUGGAAGCUUAAUAGUAGUUCCUAUUUGUUUUCAUUUUUCUUCUGUGUGAAUUUCUGCCAUAGUAAUUCUUGAUCAGCUUGCUUAGGGCAAGUCAGCUUGGGCACACAGCAGUGUCUGGUUCUCAGAUAGUAAAGCUUGUUUGGCUGGUAUGUUGUAACUUCCAAAAUGCACUAGCUGCUACCAAACAUGAGGAAAUGUCCCCUGUUGACAAUCGUCUGAUUUUUAUCUAGACUGAUGGAUUUAACUUCCUAUGUACUUUUAUGGCUCUGCAAAUGGACCAUAGUUUUUUUAGUUUUUUUAAGUUUUGUUUCAAGAAUUUGAGGAAUUUUCUUAAGAGGUAGCAUUUGUUAGGAGAAACAAAAUGUGACUUGUACCAGUGCAAAUUGAUCUAAAUCUUAUGAUCUUCAUUUCAUUUUUUAAUAGUACU